UAGCCUCUUCCAAUCUUUUGUUGCUCAAUCGACCUCCAAGUGCUCCUCUCAGCACUAAUUUGCCACCACGAGCGACGAUCUGCGCAUCCGAGCCCUAAAGGAGGGGUUUUCUCCUUUGAAACCCCCAUUCAGACUUCGAUUUCGACGAAGUAAAGGGGGAAUGACGGCUAGCCUCUCAAGGUAAGCUCCUCUUUCAUUUUAUAUUAUUAUACACGAGAAUAUGUGCGCAAAAACUAGGAAGAAAAGAACAGAUUCAAAAAGAGAAGAUGAAUGAAGCUCUCGAAAAUCACCUUUCUUUUCUUUUUCUUUUGUAUUCAAUCUGCCAAUAUUGUAUAUGUAUUUGCGUAUUGCCUGUUGUGCGUUUGUGUUGCGUAAAAAACUCACCUAGGCUAUUACAUGGCCUUUAUAGCCGAAAAGAAAGAAAAAUCAAAAAAUGAAAAUGUUAUUUUUCUUCUUCCUUAUUCGCUGCUGCUCUGUGUGUCUUUUUCACAGGUACGGAGUCUGCUGGCAUCGUACGGAGGUGCGGGCGUGGCGUACGAGGGCUGUGCACUGGUGCUGUUGGAGGUGUUGUCUGGCGCAAUAUGGUUUGGCCGCCAGUGAGGGCUGCGGCGCAAGGAGACCCUUGCCCUAGGGUUUUCCAAAAUUGGGCUCAGUUUCUGGGCCGUUUGGGCUAUUGGGCUAUGUCAUUUUGUAAAUGGACUUGUAAUUUGGGUCUUGAAACAUUAGGGUUAAUUUAUUUUGAUUUUGGGUUGUAAUUGGACAGAUAAUGGACUAUUGAUAUCUAGAUUUUUAUAUUAUUUAUUGUUUUUAUUCAGGCCGGGCAAAUUUGGCCCACUACAACUAGCUUGCACCCUAAAGAACUCAUCAGAUGACACACGGUCGUGUCGUCAGGUCGUGUGUCUCCAACGGCUGAGUCACACGUCGUGUCUCAGGCCGUCUGAACUCAAAAUGAACCUUAAACAACAAGUUUACCAAUUCAAGCUUACUUGGACUCUAUGUAAUCCAUUU
rnacentral:lncRNA from 1 species